rnacentral:tRNA from 1 species
AUUUAAAUAAUUUAAAAAAAAUAUUGAUUUGUGGAAUCAAAAAUGUUUAAUUGAAACUUUAAAUU